AGUGGUUGCAGCCACUAUAAACAGGGCUUCAAGCUGCAAGCGUUCCCACUGUCAACGGUGGGAGGUAGUC
rnacentral:ribozyme from 1 species